AAAAUGAUUACCUGUAACAAAUUGUGGCAGGUUUGAUUUUUUGGAAUAUAAUACAAGUAUGUUACCUUCUCAAAAAAAAAAAGGAAUAAAAUAGAAAGCAUAUGCUAUGUUUUGCAAAUUGCAAUGACAGACACAAUGUCUGAUCAUGAACUCCAGAAUUUUCACAAAUAUUACAAGAACAUAUAAAGUUUCCAAUUCAUUCUACAAACAAAUUUACAUUUUCCUCAAAUUGUCUAACCUUGCUUGCAGAUCACUGUCUAUCCCACCAUCAUCAUUGUCAGUUGCCUCAGCUUGUGCAACCUUGCCUUUCGCUGCUGGAGCAGCCACCGCGGAAGAAGGAGCAUUGACAAGCUCAUUGUUGAUAUUAAUUCCAAUCUCAUCAAGGACCUGGCUCACCAACUCUUCAGUUUCUUCUUCUUCCUCAUCCCCUUCCAAAGCA
rnacentral:misc_RNA from 1 species